GCAGGCUCGGCUCCCAGAACCAAGCGUUGCAAACUGUUGCAUCAGACAGCAAGCAGCCUGCCCGGCCGGGCCGCCAGGGUUUCUAGGAAGAUAGCAAGGGUUUGAGGUCCUCUCUGGUCGAAUGGGAGCGUUGGCUGUCACUCACGGUGUUUACACGCUGGUAACACGAUCCCCUGAAACCUCAAGUUUGCGCCAGUCCGGGGAGGGCCUUAGCCACAGGUGGAAGUCGCUUGAACCCCACGGCUUCUGCCUGCACUCCACGGCCGCAGGCUGGACCGACCGAACGGACUCGGCCUGUUUUAUUAAUGGCAUGGGCCCUGAAGGAAUGAGCUGGGUUGGAUUUCUCUUCCCAAGUACAAGAAUGCCCCUGAGGAAUUUCUCACUCUGUGAAAGUGCAAAACUAAUUUCCCCAGACAAGCGCUGUUGCCGGUUCCCAAAAGGGCUUGGAAAGAUCCCAGCAGGAAUGUUCAGUGGUUCCAAAGCUCUUCACCCCAGCUGCUGGACGUGCAGACACUGACCACCAAGAUCUUGGCGGGUGGACACACGUCCUUCACAGACGGGCCUUCGUUUUAGAGUCUCUCAGGCCCCUGUGUUAUGGACGUUUUGGACAUCAGCCAGAAAAUGCAUAACCCCGAACUCACACAGACACAGCACAAAUGUAACGGUUGUCUAGAUUUCAAGUGGCUCUGCAACUCAGGACCUCAAGUACAAUGCUGGAAAGAAGACUUGCAGACAUUUUUGUCUUGUUCCUGAUUUUUAAAGAAUGCUUCUAACAUUUCAUCUUCAAGAAUGAUGUUUGAAGAAUGAUGUUUGCUGUACUUAUUUGGUAAAAAAAAAAAUUCUCUCAGGUAGAAAGUUUCAUUAUGAAUUGGUGCUUAAUUUUAGCAAAUGUUUUUUCUACAAUUAUUUAGAUAAUCAUACAGUUUUCCUUCUUUAUCCGUUAAUGUGGUGAAUUACAUUAAUAGCUUUCCCAAUGUUAAAUCACUCUUGCAUUCUUAGGAUCAGCCUAGCUUGAUCAUGAUGUAUUAUAUUUUUUAUACAUUGCUGAACUCAAUUUCUAGGACAACCCCUCUUCUCAUGAACCCCUUCUCUUUUGCACACCAUACUCAGUAGUCAAAUCCUUGGUGAAGCCUCUUUCCUUUCCCCGCCUCCUCACCCCUUGCAGUCAGUCUUCCAUCCUCUGUGCUCUUCAGAUGUGCCUUUAAAACAAUCGCUUUAACCGGAAAUACUUCUGUGUAUAUUUUCCAAGGUCAGGACAUACUCUCACAGAGCUGCAGUAGAAUUGUCAUAGUCAGGAUUUUUAAUUUGGGUACAAAUCCAUUAUCGAAUGCACGGUUCAUUUAAAAAUCACAUCCAUUAUCCCUGUCUUUAACUUUAUUGUAACAUUUGUCACAUGGUUUUACAGAUCCGUGUUCACAUUCACCUGCCUCCUGUGCUCUCGCAGGCACGCGGUAACCCUGUGGGUUCGGGCUUAUAGCUUUCAUCCCCGGCUCCAAGGAGGAGCCUUGUCAGUUUUUAUCCUCUGUGUAUGUGUGUGUAUGUGUGUGCAUGCACGUACGUGUUUAAUUAGUUCUCGAAGUUACAUGGCUUGUCUUCGGUUCCUCUGGUCUUCCCACGUCCUUCCUGUCCAUUCCCCAGAUGGGGCCUCCUCCUACAGACCUGUGUCUUCUUGCUCUCUCUCUCUCUCUCUCAUUCUCAACGCUUACACUAACUUCAUUCCUGAGCCUUCACUUACACUAACUAGCAAAUGACUCAUGGUGGCUUGCAGUAUCCCUCUUCUUAGGGGUAGUUACUGAGGGAUAGGAAAAAAACCCCAAACAAAUGCUACACCCCCACCCCCCGUCCUAAAGGACCUCCGAUUCCUGCGUCCUGUGUGGUUUUGUUUCUCACGCAGAGGCCGACUAUGUGCCUUGCCUGCCGUCAGUACUAGGUGACCGCUGGUUUGGGGAAUGAAUGCUAGCCUGCAAAGGUGGUCCCUGAGAGGAAGCGCCCAGGGUGCCACCUGGCAAGCCCCACCGUGGGGCCAGCCGGGUCCAGUGGCUGGACACGACGUUCCCAACCAGGGUAUUCCAUUACUUCCCUUUAGCUCACUUAAAGCCAGCAGGCCAUUCUGAGAAGCAGGUCAGACUAAAAACUUGGACUGCCCGUUUUAUGAAGUAAAAUCAGUCAAUCAAUCUAUCUUAAUCAAUUACCAAGAGACCAAGGAGAGAAAUUGAAAAAAAGAUGGAACCACUCCUUCUGAGGGUUGUCACUAUUUUAAAAUGCCCUUUUUUAAAAGAUUUUAUUUAUUUAUUUGAGAGAGAGAGAAAGCAAGAUAGGGAGGGAGAAGCAGGCUCCCCGCAGAGCCGGGAGCCGGAUGCCAGACUGGAUCCCGGGGCUCCAGCAUCAUGACCUGAGCUGAAGGCAGUCGCCCAACCAACUGAGCCACUCAGGUGCCCUAAAAUGCCUGACUUUUUAGCUGUCAUCAUUUAUCCUUUAAAUGCUUGGAGCUAUGUGGGGAGAACAUUCUCUAGGAUCUGUAGUCCGGUUCCCUGCCCUCUGUCUGCUUAUCACUUCUGCCUUGUGCCUUAGUUAGCUCCCGUGAUUCUUUGAGCCUAUCUUCCCAUUGUUUUUAUGUUUAUUUAGUUGCACUAUUUAGUUUAUUUAGUUGCACUGGGAUGCUAAAUCUCCAGGGAACAUCAGUGAUAGGCAGGACAAUGCAACAAACUUGUAACGGGGUCCUUGGAAUACAAGCUUGACCAGGUUUCUAGGUUUUUCCACCUCUGUUGCUUUUGGUCAGUCUCCCCUAGGGUUCUGUGCGCUCUCAAGAAGGAGCUAUCCUUCACCUGCUCUCUCACAUGUCCAAGCUCUAGACUCUCCCCUGAAUCUACAUUUUAACCUUUGAACUCCUGAACCAAUUCCUGUUCUGGGAGGCUUUUCAGGAUGAGGACCUCUUCUUCCCAGUUUGGCCCAAUUGACUUGUUCUCAGUGGGAAGCAGACAAAAACCUUGUCUUCUAUCCUUUUCUGGGUGUCAGGACCCAAGCAUUUCUCAGGCAUUUUUAGGGCUUUAUAAAAAACCAUGUAUAGGCAAAACAUUCCAGAGGCUGAUGGAGGCUGAAACUCUGCCCAGAUCUCACCUUCCUCUGCCUACAGUGAUGGGGAGCGAACCCCUUUUGAGCUAGCAGUUAAUCCUGCGACAGCUGGUUUUGGACAAAUAAGCCUGGGUCACCCAGUUCCCUGCAGGGCUCCAGGGGAAAGCCUGCGAGGGCCUGCGUCCCCAGGAUCACUCUGAAAUGGGACUGGUUUCUCGGAGAUCAUUAGUGCUCCUCUGUCAUGGCCCCAGGUCAGACCCAUCCCGGCUUAUGUUAUGACAGCUUGUGAUAUUUGUUGGCUCUGUUUUUCUCCUCGAAUUGUCAUCCUGUCUUCCUGAAGUGGAGGAGGAGGAGUGAAGGUGUGAAAGAGGCCAGAGGAAAAGACUCCGGUGGGAGAUCAUUGUCCUGCAGGGCCCAGAGCGGGACUGCUCCCCACCGAGGCUUUCUGAAGAAGACUCUUCACCACGUCGAUUUUAGAUGCUUUUCUGAAUUCAUUGUUGCUGAGGGAAGGCAGGACCAGACGUCGUGAGGUAGAGGAGGCCACGCUGGAUGGAAUUUCUGGCAGCCAGGGUUCAAAUCCCGACUCACCCCUCUCCCCCUUCCUAGCUAAGUGGUCUUGGGCAAGUCACUUAACACACUUAACUGGUAAGAAGCCUCACUCAUCACAUGGAACAGCCGUCACCCUGGCCACAGUGUGGUCGCAAGAGUGGGAGGAAAUGGCGUGCAGGAGCCCAGCACGGAACACAUAUCCAGUUCACGUGCAUCUUCAGGACACGCGCGAGGCUGUCUCUUUUUCCCGGUGAUUCCCAGACUUGUGUAGCUUGUAGACUGGGAAGAUCUCAGAAUGUAUUUCGAUGAGCUUAAGUUUGCCAACUUUUUAUUUUGCUAAAGUAGGACAGUAUAAAAAAAAAGCAAAAAACCACAACUCACCUCCAUCUAUUUUCACUAACUCUCAUAAAAUAAUAUUUGAAAACAAAAAGUAACAAGGACAUGGUUUACGAGUGAGACGUGGAAUACGUUUGGUGUUCCAGAAACCUCUCUGUAUCAUUCCUGUUUCUCUAACCUCACCAGGGAUGCGUGAAAACUCGGUUCACAAAUCAGCGUUUGGGAGCUGUCCCCUUCCACGGCUCAGGCUCAGAAGGGUUUUCCAGAUUAGGGUUUCCUGCUGUGGACAUGGCACCCUGAGGUGGGGAGGAGGACAGGUGAGUAUGAGGGAGCAGCUCAUCUUCUGGUAUGAAGUUUAAAGAAGCGCUGAAGUGUGAUUGCCUAGUCCGGGGACCUUGGCACAAGGAGAGACACCAGCAGGUGGGAGAAGUGGUUGUUGUGAUACAAAGUAUGCGGGGAGGGUGGGGCAGAACAUUUCAUGUCUGAGUUCCAAGUAAAAUAAUGGCUGUAUCUGCAUUUUGAGUCUAAAAAAAAAAAACAAAAACCACAAACAGAUGCAAGUAAACAAUGAAAACUUGCCGAGUCUGGUGGCUGAAA